CUCCGAACAGUUGAGCUUCUAUCACUUCCUCUGCACACAACUCAUUGCCACCGAUCAAGAUGCAGAAGGCCGUCGUUAUCAUCCUUGUGCUGGCCUUUGCCACCGUUACAUUGGCCCAGUCCCACGAAGAAGCUGAAGAGGCUUCACACUUGAGACUUCGUCGUGCCUUUCGCUGUCCAGUCAACCACUAUGAGUGUCACAAGCACUGCACGUCCAUUCAAGGAUACAGGGGCGCAUACUGCGGAAAAUACAUGAAAAUGAGAUGCAAGUGUUACUGAAGUAUGUACGCCCUAUAAUAUGUAUAACAUCUAUUUAAGGGACAUGGUGGGACUAAAUAAAGGACGUUAUAGUGGC